rnacentral:rRNA from 1 species
UACGGGGGGAGCAAGCGUUGUUCGGAUUUACUGGGCGUAAAGGGUGCGUAGGCGGCCACCGCAAGUCGGUUGUGAAAUCUCCGGGCUUAACCCGGAAAGGUCAAUCGAUACUGCGGGGCUAGAGUGCAGAAGGGGCAACUGGAAUUCUCGGUGUAGCGGUGAAAUGCGCAGAUAUCGGGAGGAACACCAGUAGCGAAGGCGGCUCGCUGGGCCGUUCCUGACGCUGAGACGCGAAAGCUAGGGGAGCGAACAGG